CAUGUGUAAGCGAAGCCUUCGGGUGGAGCGGCGGACGGCUCAGUAACGGGCAAGUAUUUAAUCUCACGAUCUGGACAACCUCAGGAAACAGAGGGGAAAACGGAGUAAGAGCAUGUGUGAAAAACAUGCAAUGAUAACACGCAAGUGUGGGUGAGAAUAAGAAGCCAUCCCAUCAGUUAAUACGUUGCGGUAAGGGCGCACGUAGACUAAGACGGGUACGGGGGAUUAGGGUUUGAUUCCGGAGAGGGAGCCUGAGAGACGGCUACCAGGUCUAAGGAGAGCAGCAGGCGCGAAAAUUACCACAGCCCACAUAGGGGCGGUAGUGAAGAGACGUAAAAACAAGGACGUGUAAACAACGUCUUGGGUAACUGGAGGUCAAGUCUGGUGCCAGCAUCCGCGGUAAUACCAGCUCCAGGAGUGUCUAUGGUGAUUGCUGCGAUUAAAAAGUCCGUAGUCGAAGGAGAAGGCCCGUCUGUAAUGUUGUGUAUCAAGCACAAAAUAGGACGGGAAGACUCCGGAGUUAGGAACGAGUGGGGGCUAGAGUAUUGUGCAGCGAGAGGUGAAAUUCAAUGACCUGCACAGGAGUAACAGAGGCGAAAGCGCUAGCCAGGGGCGUAUCCGAUGAUCAAGGACGUAGGCCGGGGUAUCGAAGACGAUUAGAGACCGUAGUAGUCCCGGCAGUCAACGAUGCCUACACUAUUGUAGAGAAAUGUACGAUAGAAGAGAAAUCUAGUAGGGCUAUGGGGAGAGUACGCGCGCAAGCAUAAAAUUUAAAGGAAAUUGACGGAAGAGCACCACAAGGAGUGGAGUGUGCGGCUUAAUUUGAC
rnacentral:rRNA from 1 species